rnacentral:tRNA from 1 species
GAGUGUAUAGCUCAACGGUAGAGUGUGUGCUUAGUAUGCACGAGGUCCUGGGUUCAAUCCCCAGUCCCUUCU